AGGAGCCGGAUGAGGUGAAAGUCUCACGUCCGGUUCUGAAGCCGAGCCAGAAUGGUGACAUAUCUGGU
rnacentral:ncRNA from 1 species